GAUGAACGCUAGCGGCAGGCCUAACACAUGCAAGUCGAGGGGUAUGGCAGCAAUGCCAGAGACCGGCGCACGGGUGCGUAACGCGUAUGCAACCUACCUUUUACAGGGGAAUAGCCCAGAGAAAUUUGGAUUAAUGCCCCAUGGUAUAUCGAGAUGGCAUCAUCAUGAUAUUAAAGUUCCAACGGUAAAAGAUGGGCAUGCGUCCUAUUAGCUGGAUGGUAAGGUAACGGCUUACCAUGGCUACGAUAGGUAGGGGUCCUGAGAGGGAGAUCCCCCACCCCGGUAGUGCGACACGGACCAGACUACGGCGGGAGGCAGCAGUGAGGAAUAUUGGACAAUGGGCGCAAGCCUGAUCCAGCCAUGCCGCGUGCAGGAAGACGGUCCUAUGGAUUGUAAACUGCUUUUGUACGGGAAGAAACACUCCUACGUGUAGGAGCUUGACGGUACCGUAAGAAUAAGGAUCGGCUAACUCCGUGCCAGCCGCCGCGGUAAAAC
rnacentral:rRNA from 1 species